AAUAGAUACCCCGGUAGUCCACGCCGUAAACGUUGGGCGCUAGAUGUGGGGGCCAUUCCACGGUUUCCGCGUCGUAGCUAACGCAUUAAGCGCCCCGCCUGGGGAGUACGGCCGCAAGGCUAAAACUCAAAGGAAUUGACGGGGGCCCGCACAAGCGGCGGAGCAUGCGGAUUAAUUCGAUGCAACGCGAAGAACCUUACCAAGGCUUGACAUAUACGAGAACACUGCAGAAAUGUAGGACUCUUUGGACACUCGUAAACAGGUGGUGCAUGGUUGUCGUCAGCUCGUGUCGUGAGAUGUUGGGUUAAGUCCCGCAACGAGCGCAACCCUCGUCGCAUGUUGCCAGCACGUUAUGGUGGGAACUCAUGUGAGACUGCCGGGGUCAACUCGGAGGAAGGUGGGGAUGACGUCAAAUCAUCAUGCCCCUUAUGUCUUGGGCUUCACGCAUGCUACAAUGGCCGGUACAAAGGGCUGCAAUACCGCAAGGUGGAGCGAAUCCCAAAAAGCCGGUCUCAGUUCGGA
rnacentral:rRNA from 1 species